GUCUAUGGCCAUGCUACCCUGAACAAGCCUGAUCCCAUCUGAUCUUGGAAGCUAAGCAGGGUCAGGCAUGGUUAGUAGUGGAUGGGAGACCACCUAGGAAGACCAGGUGCUGUAGGCA
rnacentral:rRNA from 1 species